GACCUCGUAGCUCGGCUGGUUGAGCGUGCGCUGUACAAAAGCUUAAAUGAUGUCCAUGUGUGGGUUCGAAUCCCACCGAGGCUA
rnacentral:tRNA from 1 species